rnacentral:tRNA from 1 species
GCUAUGGCUCAGUGGUAGCGCACUCGCCUGGCAUGUGUGAGGCACUGGGUUUGAGUCUCAGCACUGCA